rnacentral:lncRNA from 1 species
AGUGCCCAUUCUAGUAGCAACAAAAUGAGGGGAAAGCAACUCAAGUGCCUCAUUAAAAUGGGGAAUGGUCUGCAAUUUCUAAACCACUCUUCCUUUCUUGUAUUCCUCUUUCAGGCAAAUAUGCAGCAUUCAUCUUUGUUGCCUCUCCAGGUGUGAGAGGCAGUGUAACAUCCAGGCUGUUUACAUAACUUGCGGAGUGUUUUACAAUGUACUCUGCAGACAAUUGCUCGGAUCCCUUUAUUGUCUUUUUAAAGAUGCCUAUACAGGUAGCAGUGGCUUUUUAUUCUUAAGUCUUAGAGAUGCAUUUAGAGUUACAUACAGACAUAUGGUGGAAAGGGGUCUUGAGUUGAUUUGGGGCAAAAGGCAACCGUCCCCAUGCACUAGAGAUGAAUCAUGCCUACCUCCCUUUGUCAUGGGAAGUGGCGGCCACUGCCACAUCUGCUAUGAGGCUCUUCGCCAUCGUUGGCUGCUGGAAAUUUGGAUACAGAGCUGUGUCUCUGCAUGGGUGAGAACUACAAAACCAGUCAGGAGGAAUUUGAUACGCCAAGUGGGCCAGCUCAUUAUAACUUCUAGGAAACCACAAGAUAAUUGUAGGGUUACUGCUGGUAGGCUCCUCAGCAUUGUGUUAGGCGUUUAUACUCUUCUCUGUUCAACUUGCAAUAGCCACUUCUCUUUUCAGUACAUUUUGUAGGACAUCUGAAUAAAGGUGGUUGACAAGCAUUUUCAAGCAGAAUUUUCAAGGCAGCAUCCAGGAAUACUUGGUAACUAACCUCAGAGGUUUAAAAAAGUAAAAAAUAAAAAUAUGUGGUUGAAUUCUUACAAUUUGCCAUCACCCAUCUGUAGAUGGUGGCAUUUUGGGUAGUUUUUAUUUUUAUCACUAUAUUUUACUGCAUGUUUACAUUUUCUUUCAUGUGCAUGUGUUUUGUUGUUUAAUGUGCAAAAACAUAAUGCAUAGAGGGGUAGCAUUCAUCAGAAUAAGGUCAGAAAAAUGGAGGACUCCAGUGUUUUUUGCGAUUGCUUUCCGUGUUUAUGUGUGUGUGUGUGUAUGGGCGCACGCGCAUGCAUGCAUGUGCACACUUGUAUCUGUGUUUCUGACAUAUGGGCAACAGGUCUACUGCAGGCUGGACUCCCUCUCUGUAGGCUCUAGGGACUUCUCCAUAAGAGGAUGACCUACUUGACCUAUUUUUGCAAGUAUCUUUUGCCAUUUUCCUACCCUCUGCUUCCCUACUCCCAUCAGACAUGUUAAUGGCUCAUAUCAUCUUCUCCUUUCAUCAGCCAAAAAAAAAAAAAAAACUCUCUUGGCUUCUCUUCUGAUUUCAGCCUGUCACUUGAUGAGGUCCCUGCUAUUUAUAUUUUUGUUUGUUAGAAGGGAGCGGGGGAAACAUAAAUAAAGCCCGGGCAAACCCAACCACCCUGCUGGAUAUGAAGGGACUCCCUCAUAUUGUGGCAGCAGGGCUGCCUAACUGGUAUUUAAGCAGGGACCAAGAGGUCCACACUGUGAAUGCCGUUGAAAGGGUUACUGGGAAAUGCAAACAAAAACAACAUGCAAAUGAGGCUGCCAGCAACAGUAAGAAUCUCUCUGUUCUGCAUAAAGAUGAUUCCUCUACCUGUACACCUCAUACCAGCCUCCUGUCUUAUCUGUCAUGCCCUUUGAUGUUUCCUUCUCUGUAGCCGACAGACAUUCUCUUCCAACCUAGAGAACCUACAGAAAUUACAGAAACCUUCCCUUGACUGGAUCUUUCUUAGCUAUAUACAGUCUUUCUCUUUUUUAUGUCGUCUGAAUUCUCAAAGACAGAAAUCUACACUUCCUCAACCCACUUUGGUCUUCCUUUGUCUCCAUCUUUGACUGAUAUUUUUUUCUAGUCAGUGUCACCAGGACUCCACAGUUGCUUAAUGCAAUGUAUAUUUUUCAGUCUUGAUCUUAUUGAGCCUCUUUCUUAGCAGUAUUUGAUACUUCAUGACUUCUCAGAAGCUCUACUCCCUUGACCUCUGUAAUCCUCGGUAUUUUUAUUCUCCCUAUUGGGCAUCUUUUCUCACCAGGUUCUGAGAUAUUGAUGUUUCUGUUGAGUUCUGACUUCAGACUGGCUCUGCAUGGAUCUCAUUCUACAUUCUUGUUGAGGGAUCCCAUCACUCUCAGGGUGUUUGUGACUCACCCACUAGACUGAGAACUUCUUGAUGUCGGACCUUGUGACUCAUUCAUUGUUGUAUCCCACAAGGACAGAAUGCCAUUAUCAACACAAUGGGUCCCUCCUGCUUGAUGGACCAUGGAACCUUGGGUCCUGUGCAUCUCUGUGAACCACCAAGGGUACAUAGGGCCUUAUUUCCUGUGUCGCUUUCACCCUUGCACAGGAGGAUUUAUCUGCUGGGAAUAUCUCUGAAGUAAAGAAGUAUGGAAUAAAGAGAUAAUAUUAUGACUUAUUAUUUUCCAAGCUGGAUAGAUAAGAUGAAAAGGGAAACAAAGAAUACUCCAAAUGCUUCUAUAAUGCACUUUCAAAAAUAUACAUCUCCAGCUAAAAUUUAAUGUAAAUGCUUAAUUUGCUUGAUUAUAGGUAUUAUGCAGUUAUUUACACUAUACUGCGUAAGCUAUAGUGCUCUAUAGUUUUAGCUCAUCUAUAAUGCAUUGAUAAUGUAAAUGUAUUCAUACUUUUAUCACCACAAUUAUUUGAAAAAAUCUUGCUUUUGUAAAAUGAACUGUUUAGAUAGAAGUAUCCAUUACACUUGGCAUUGUAAGAAUGUAUUGACUGCUUAGAAAGGGCCAAAAUAAAUAUCCCUAGAUAUGCAUAAUUUAUAUAUGAGAUUAAGUUAUAUGUAUUAUGCGUCUAUAAAACAUGUAUGUUUUUGCUGUCGCAGAUUUAAUUUUACUUCUAGUCCUUCUUUAAAUGAAGGCUAGAGUUUCACUCUAUUAAAAGAAAGGAGAGUGGGAAUAUGGUGGAGCCAAAAAAUAGAUAACAUGUGAAUAUGCCUUUGAUUUUCAGCUCACAAGUAGUCCUUUCUAUAGGUAUUCAAGAGGGAUUAUGAGAUGAGAUAGGAUUCAGUGCCGUUGACAGAGACCCAAGGAGACAAGAAAGGACAAAUUAAAUGAGGUAUUACAGAUAGUGAUAGAAGUAGGCAUGGCUGAUAUAUAGGCUUCCUGUGCACUAUAAAGCUGUCCAUGCUCAGAUGCAUAGUUCAAAUUAAUCAUUAGUCAACCUAGUUAAAUUGUGCAGUUAUUUUAAAACAACAGAAAACUACUUUGCGAGGUUACAUGUCACAGUUUCUCUAACAUCCUACUUGGGCCACACCUUUUCCAAGAAACCUUCCCUAAGUAACUCAUCCUUACUUCUCAUUUCUUCCACUAUUAUUUAUGUAAAUUAUAUUGUAGACAGUAUUUUUGUAACUAUUUAGUUGUUUCUAGUUGGUGUGAUGGCUUAUUUCAUGAUAUGUUUUGGUAUAGGUUCAAAAUUGGGGAAUAGUUACUGGGCUCCAUGUACCCUGUGUGUUCAGUACAUUCUUGAGUAAGCGAACCUAGUUUCCAGAAGCUGUAGUCCAGAAAACUACCACUCUCUCAUCUAAAAUAAAAUAUCUUAAAUAACACAUAAGGAUUCCCCUGGCGCAAACCAAUCAUAGACGUACACUCGCCUGCGAUCCAGUAUAUGUGUUUCUGUUCAUUUGCCUAAAAUGGGCUCCACAUUCAGCUCCCUACCUUUGAGUAAAUAAUCAUGCGAUAAAGCUCAAGAAAUACGUGGUUGUGGGUUUUAUUUUUCCACCUCGGCUGCUGAUGUGUUACCUAGCAGGCUGUGUUCUACACAGGGCUUGGUUCUCUCUCACAGCUUGUGUACACUGCUUUAAUAAAUGGUAACAGUGCUUUAAUAAGUCCCCUGGCCAUCAUCUUACUUAUGAUCUCUAGAUGAAGACCACUGUGUGAAACUGGUAUCCUAGGAGGUUGGAGUGAGCAUGUAUGAGUGAGUGUGUGUGUGUGUGUGUGUGUGUGUGUGUGUGUGUUGCUUGAUUUAUAAACCACUGAAGCCCGAUGAAGUACUAGGGUGAAAAUCACCUACGUUUCCAGAGGAAAAAAAUGUCACCAUCAAUUCCAAGAGGGACUUGUAAACCUGAAACUAACAGCCAAUGGUUUAAUUUUUUUAAGGUAGAUUUUUUUUUUAACAUUUCUAGGCUUACUAUAUUCUAUCUGGAAAAAUAUAAAUUUAUGGGCAAAAAGAAAAGCUGAGAGUCGUAGUUUUCAUGGGAGAGCCAAACAAAAAAUACCCAUUAUUGAAAGGCAGUCUUUCAGGGAUUCUUGAAAAGAAAGGUAACCUUUCUUAUUCAUAGUGCAGUUACCUCUUGAGAAACUGCAGAUUAGGGAAACCUGUAGAUAUUUUAUUCUAUCUCAGCACCAGGAGAUACACCAGGAGCUAGGGUCACAUGAGAGGGUGAUGGCAUAAUUUCAGGAAUAUAAGAAGACACAGG